rnacentral:tRNA from 1 species
GUUCUUGUAGUUGAAUAACAGCGGUAGUUUUUCAGAUUGCUGGUCUAGGUUAGAGUCCUAGCAGGAAUG